CCCUGAUACACACUGACACAGAGCAGAAUAGGGACUGUUCCCCCUACAUAGGGUCACUUGGCAGAUAUGGAUUGACACCUAUCCUCAGGAUCCCUGAUACACACAGAGCAGAAUAGAGACUGUUCACCCUACAUAGGGUCACUUGGCAGAUAUGGAUUGACACCUAUCCUCAGGAUCCCUGAUACACACUGACACAGAGCAGAAUAGGGACUGUUCCCCCUGCAUAGGGUCACU